rnacentral:rRNA from 1 species
AUUGAACGCUGGCGGCAGGCUUAACACAUGCAAGUCGAGCGGGGGAAGGUAGCUUGCUACCGGACCUAGCGGCGGACGGGUGAGUAAUGCUUAGGAAUCUGCCUAUUAGUGGGGGACAACAUCUCGAAAGGGAUGCUAAUACCGCAUACGUCCUACGGGAGAAAGCAGGGGAUCUUCGGACCUUGCGCUAAUAGAUGAGCCUAAGUCGGAUUAGCUAGUUGGUGGGGUAAAGGCCUACCAAGGCGACGAUCUGUAGCGGGUCUGAGAGGAUGAUCCGCCACACUGGGACUGAGACACGGCCCAGACUCCUACGGGAGGCAGCAGUGGGGAAUAUUGGACAAUGGGGGAACCCUGAUCCAGCCAUGCCGCGUGUGUGGAGAAGGCCUUAUGGUUGUAAAGCACUUUAAGCGAGGAGGAGGCUACUUUAGUUAAUACCUAGAGAUAGUGGACGUUACUCGCAGAAUAAGCACCGGCUAACUCUGUGCCAGCCGCCGCCGUAA